GCGAAUGUGGCGGAACUGGUAGACGCACUGGAUUUAGGUUCCAGCGGUUCGCACCGUGCGGGUUCGAGUCCCGCCAUUCGCACCA
rnacentral:tRNA from 1 species